AAGUCUUACAUGCAACGGUCAUAAACCCACCCUCCGUAUUCCCAAAAUUCCCUUUCAUCAUCGACACUUUUUGAUUCCUCUCUUCUCCGGAGGCGAUUUUGCUCUAAAGCUCAUGGCUACUUCUCGUGGAGUGGCCACUUCAAGGGACGUUCAAGCUAUCGUCUCUAAACUGUCGUCGGAUAAAGCCAAGAGUGGUGAACUUUGAUUAAGGUGUAUGUGGUCACAGUCUCUAAGUACCGCACAGCAAAUUCAUAGCUACUGAGGCUUCCAGGGAAGACAAAAAUAUUAAAACUGUAUUUGCAGACAUGGUUUGACAUUCAGACAAUGAAGUUGUUGAUGCUGUUUGGACUCUUGUCCAUAUUAGGUGAAAGUUUUACAUCACAAACCCUUCAGACGAGUUUUGCUAUUCUUUGUUGGCUCAAAUUUGGUGGUUGUGCUAAAUUUUUUAAUGUGGAGUACAUCAUUGAUCUCGGGGACUGUAAUGCUGUUCACAUACACAUUGAUCAAGCCACCUCAAAAAUUGUUCACAAAGAUCUCGGAGUUGACUUUGAUCAAGGAUGAAAGCCCAAAACUCCUUAAUGAUGCCUUCUGCCUUCCUUAAUUCAUGCUUUAAAUAAAUAAUUUUAGUUAAGUUUCUAUUCUAUUCAGCUUUUUCCUGAUUUGACAGGUUCCGUUCAGGUUAACAAGUGACAUAAUUGAUGGCGUGGACGACUUUUUUUAAAUUUCAUAGUAGAUAUGCAGUACAAAAUUUCAGCCGCAUGUCUCUAUCAGCAUACCCGUCAUCAUUUGGCUACCCUUGAAGUGCUUACUUGUAUUUUUGGUUAUAGAGCUUCAGUUCCGAGUUCCUUCAAGUGCACAGAAUCCCAGAUAUUUUUUUUCUUCUGUUUUUUAACUUUGAGCUGAAAAUUUUGAUGAGAUACCUUCUCGACGGAUCCUUAAAGAUCAUAGGUGUUACAUCACAAACUUUUCGGAUUGAUCAAGCCACAACAUAAGUUCUCCACGAAGAUCUCGGAGUUGACUUUGAUCAAGCCACAACAUAAGUUCUCCACAAAUAUAUAAUUGUGAUGAAGGCGUGUUCUGGAGAUGUUGUUAGUCGGUUAUGUGGAAAAAUAAAAAGGUGUUGGUCAUGAUUGUUGAAAUAAAUUGAACUGAACUACUAUCCGGGGCGGAAAGUAAAAAUAUGAAUAGGAUACCGAAUACAUAAAUCAAAAUCCAUCUAAUUGCAGGUUUUUAUACAUGAUCCUCUCUACCAAUGGGCCUUGUCCCUCUUGAAGGCUUUGCAAAGGCAAAAGGUGAAACAAAUGGUGGAAAUCUGAUAAUCUUGUUGAACUUAAAAAAAGGAGAGAGGUCUGAUAAUCUUUAGAAGUAGUUUUUGUUAUCCUUUUUGCGGAGCCCAAAGAACAUUUCUGAAGCAUAGAUUAAACUCUUUCUCUGCAGGAUACCGAUAAAAAGGUGGCUAAUGUUUGUUUCAUUUGUUCUAUUGCUUCCUGUGUACAGAACCUGCAUCUCUUUUUUCCCGGUAAACUGUUGCAUGUGCCAUUCAAAAAUAGUGGACGACAUUCUUGAAGUGUAAAAUUACUUGCUCACUAAUCGACUUUUUGUUUUUUAUUCAUCUCGUUCACUACUUUAUCUCUGUAUUGACAGGAUCAACAAUUUUCCGCAGAUAGGGUGUUCAUGGUACAUAUUUGUUUUUAUUUAGUGUUGAUUUGAUCAGAAAGUUGUUGUGUUGUUUAACAUACUUACUCUCAUAACCCUUUCCUGUAGUUUUACGAUUCAUUGUAGAAGUCCAGUAUAAAACUUCAGCCGCAUUUCGCCAUCGGCAUACCCUUCAUCUUUUGGCUGCACUUGAAGUGCUUACCUGUAUUCUUUGUCAUAGAGCUUCAGUUCCUAUUUCCUUCAACUGCUUAGAAUCCCAGAUAUUUUUCUGUUUUUUUACCUAAUGAGGUCUGUUUGAGAUCUGAUGAUAUUCUUAGUAUUUUCUUUUUCUCCACGUGUUUUUUUUGUCUCAUUAUUGGUGCACGCUGCAUCAACUGGGCCAUCUCUAGCUUUGAAUUUGCUCCACAAGGUUGAUGCAAAUUCGUCUCUUUAUGAUGAUGUCAGAGUAGGUGUUCUACACGCAGAGUUAAAAAUUCUGCCUUAUCAAGAUUUGGAGCCUUUCCUUGGCAUGGACAUUUUUAGAGUCGUGUCGUCCACAAAUUUCUGGUUGGGUUACGCGGAGUCUAUUCUCCAUGGAAUCAUCUGUUCAAGUCUCCAAGCACUGCACAACAAGUUCAUUGCUAUUGAAGUUUCCAGGGACUAUUAAAAAUGCACUUGCAGACUCGGUUUGCGAUUCUGACAAUGAAGCUGUUGAUGCUGUUUGGACUCUUGUCCAUUUGUCUGCGCCAAAUGAAGCAGGCUGUGCAGCUGACCUUCUCGACGAAUCCAUAAAGAUCAUAGAUGUUGCAUCACAAGCCUUCGGGUGGGGUACACCGUUGAUCUUUGGGACUGUCAUGCCAUGAAUAUUUUGAUUGAUCAAGCCUCAACAUAAGUUCUCCACAAAGAUCUCGGAGUUGACAUUGAACAAGGAUUAAA